rnacentral:rRNA from 1 species
UACAGAGGUCCCGAGCGUUGUUCGGAUUCAUUGGGCGUAAAGGGUGCGUAGGCGGUCUUCUAAGUUUGAUGUGAAAUCCCGGGGCUCAACCCUGGAAUUGCAUUGAAUACUGGAGGACUAGAGUACCGGAGAGGAAACUGGAAUUUACGGUGUAGCAGUGAAAUGCGUAGAGAUCGUAAGGAAGACCAGUGGCGAAGGCGAGUUUCUGGACGGUAACUGACGCUGAGGCACGAAGGCCAGGGGGAGCAAACGGGG